UCUGCUCUCUGGAGUCUCAUCGCAAACUUUACAGUGACCCACAAACAUUGGUCAGGCCGGCAGCUGGGACUGCUUGUGCUAGGUGUCAAGGCUGGAGAAAACAGGAGAUUGUGACAGAGGAGGUGCUACACGGGGAGAACAAGCUUGGCAUGAGAGUUGUAACCACCGGUCUCCCCUGUCGCUGACCCUGGCUGGGGUGUGCCAGCCUGCUGCAAGGGACUGGAAAGGUACUUGUCCCUCCCACAGACCAGGUUCCUCUCUUUUGCCCUGAAUAUCCUCUGGCAUACUAAUGACAAGCCUCAGUACCUACUGCCACAUUUGAAGUGCUAAGGAAAUAUGAUGUACACAGUGUAGCUGUAGGAAACUGAGAAACCUUCUUAUAGGAGGAUGGCUAAGAAAAGGUGGGAUACACCAGGAAAGAUACAGGUAGGGUUGGUGCUGCCUUGGGAGGGCUACAUGACCCCUCAAAGCCCUUCCCAACCUAUUCCCUGUAAUUCUGCCUUUAGUCUUUUAUGUCUGUUAUAAUUCUGUGGGGUUUAUAACCCAUUUUUGUGUAUUCAUUGCAUUCCUCAGGAGGUGAAAUGAAUGAUGGAUACAUUAUUUUUUAAACUGCAAAAGUAGUUAAUGUGGAAAAGCCCUAAACAGGCCAGGAAUCUAGCACUUCAGGAAAGUCUAGGUUUAAGUUUGAAGAUAAAUUGUCUGCUGGGGUGAAAUCAGAGUCUUGGCUGGAAAUAUUUUUCCUCACCUCUUGACUUUGAGGGAAAUGCAAAGUCAGCUCUGAGUCAAACUUUGUGGCUUUGGUCCUCUGGAAUAAAAGCAGCUUUGAGUCACUCAAGAUGUGCUGCAAAUCACACUUUAGUCUCUGCAUUGAGGACUGCUGUUAAAAAAACAUUACAGAUAAAACCAUUUUUGUCUGCAGCCCGCUGUGCCCCGCACUCAAGCUAAUGACCGUAACAACCUUUUCUGAUCUCAGUAAGUGGUUUAGGACUUUUGACCUGCUUUGGAAUAGGAGCUGGAAGCUGGACUCUGCAAUUGCUUAAUGAAGACUGGACUAGAGCAAGAGAGAUUAGUCACAGGGCAAACAAUUCCAGUUCUGCAACAAGAGACAGCGAAUAGAAAAUGCAAAGACAACGCAUUCCUUGAACCUUGUAGGACUAGGCUGCAUUGAACAGGUAGUGACACACAGCAAGUGACAAAGCCGCCUCUUCUUGGCACCACAGAGUCCCCAAACUCUGAUCUCAAGAACAUGUCCAUGAGGAUUACUUGCGCAAAUGUGCUCAUUACUAGACUCCAACUCCAUUUAACAGAUACUGUUAUCUCUCUGACAAAGCCUGGUAUUUGAAGCUCACAAGCAAAUGUGGCAGCAGUAAAACCACAGGCUUUGUUCUGCUUCUUGUAUUUCCCAGUUGGAAAGAGCACAAACCUGGCAACUGAAGUCCUGCAAAACAGGCAAAAUACCUGUAGUCUAGUAAGCUCCACUGUAUGUGUAUGUGCAGUGGAUAUACAUAGGUUUACUUCUAUAUAUAUAGUAUAUAUGCAUAGACAUGCAUACACAUACGUAAGAUUCAUGUUUUUCUACACGAUGUCUUCCUGUUAGGUUCAGAGAGAGCCCCACUGGUAUCAGAGGGAACACACACAUUGACUUAGAUAUAGGAGUUAACAUUGGGUCCUCCGUUAAGACUAAAUAGUUUUUCUUAGCAUCACGUAUAGCUAACAGCCUCUGGCCCUCUGACCCACACUCUUCCCAGGAAGCUGGUGCUGGGUCAGGCUGAUUCACUCUCAUGCUUCCUUGCUGUGUUUGUUCUAUCAUCUCCUUGAUCUGUGCUGCUGUGGCACUGUGUAGGACAUGCAUCUGAAAUAAGGACCAUGGUAGACUCUGAAAUGGGCUGUUCCUUUGGCCCUGAGCCCUCUCGGUAUGAACAGCCCUUUCUCUGCUCCCUCAGAGAACAUCUUUCUUUCUUUCUGUUUCCAAAUAAAAUGUCUGAGGAAUGACUCCUGACUCAGCAAAGGCCAAUGAUGCAAACUGUGAGCAAUGAAAAGGUGUUUUCUAAAGCUGUAAAAGUGCAGCCUGCAAGAGUGAGGAGAGCAAAGAGGGGUUAAUUAAAACAUUCAUGUGCCCAUUACCUGUGGGAUUGCCUUUAUGAGAUACACAAGCAAAUAGAAAGUACAUGGUAUUUCCAGAAAGCAUUCUGUUGAUCCUCUUUUAGACACAGAUAUACAUUGCUUGGAAGUGAGGAGCUGUGGUGCCAAGCACACAGAAAAGGGCAUGAUACCAUCAAUCAGCUGAGCAGUAGUGCUCUGCUGCUGCUAGGAACAGUCUCUUGGCUUCUCUUGAGCUGCCAGCCGCUGCUCCUGCAUAAGGCAGCACCUUCUCCUUGGGAGUAGCUGCUUCUCCUGCUCUCCCUGAGCUGUGAGAUCAAAGUGGGGGUCUAAGCCUGGAUCCAGUGUGGUAUCGAGAAGCAAGGUUUUCCCCAUUGGAAGGGUCCCUGAAUCCUUAC